rnacentral:sRNA from 1 species
CUUCAACCAAUUCUCUACUCUUCGAUCUAAGACUGCACUCUAACAGACUAUUCCUAUGCACAUCUCAAUGGUCAAAGUUUUAUUAUGUUAUGAAGGAGGGGUCAUAUGUCGCAGUACAUGUGUGGGGGUCAGCCUCCUUCUUCCACUAUGUAGGUCCGGGGAUCAAGCUCAGUUGCAAGCUCACUUUCCCAUCGAGCCAUUUUGUACCCAUGAUGGUCAAGUUUUUAAAAUAGUAUCAUCAUAAAAGAAAAUUCACCCUUUUACCAUCUUUGCUGUGAACGACUCAGGGACAUUGAUCAUAUUCAAGUUACAGGCUAUCAUUAACAUGUUUCCUCAAAUUUUAUUAUUGAGAAACUGAGGCUCCAGAGCAGGAAGUGGCUUAUCCGAACACCCCCGGAGCACACAGAUGCAGGAAGUCAGAGCCUCAGCCCAGCUGCCAGGCUUUUUCUGCUAAACUGCUCCCACCUGUGAGAUUCCAGAAGCUUGAAAAAGAAAUUCCUUCCCCAGAGACCAGCUCUAAGCCCAGGGGAGUCAUAAUAAAGAUGAAGAAAAAAA